UACGUAGGGUGCGAGCGUUGUCCGGAAUUACUGGGCGUAAAGAGCUCGUAGGUGGUUUGUCGCGUUUGUUCGUGAAAACCGGGGGCUUAACCCUCGGCGUGCGGGCGAUACGGGCAGACUUGAGUACUGCAGGGGAGACUGGAAUUCCUGGUGUAGCGGUGGAAUGCGCAGAUAUCAAGAGGAACACCUGCGGCGAAGGCGGGUUGCUGGGCCGACACUGACGCUGAUGCGCGAAAGCCAGGGGAGCGAACGGG
rnacentral:rRNA from 1 species